UACGAAGGGGGCUAGCGUUGCUCGGAAUCACUGGGCGUAAAGCGCACGUAGGCGGAUUGCUAAGUCAGGGGUGAAAUCCUGGAGCUCAACUCCAGAACUGCCUUUGAUACUGGCAAUCUCGAGUCCGGGAGAGGUGAGUGGAACUGCGAGUGUAGAGGUGAAAUUCGUAGAUAUUCGGCGGAACACCAGUGGCGAAGGCGACUCACUGGCCCGAUACUGACGCUGAGGCGCGAAAGCGUGGGGAGCAAACAGG
rnacentral:rRNA from 1 species